GGAUGAACGCUGGCGGCGUGCUUAACACAUGCAAGUCGAGCGGAAAGGCUCCUGCUUGCAGGGGUACUCGAGUGGCGAACGGGUGAGUAACACGUGGGUGAUCUGCCCUGCACUUCGGGAUAAGCCUGGGAAACUGGGUCUAAUACCGGAUAGGACGAUGGUUUGGAUGCCAUUGUGGAAAGUUUUUCGGUGUGGGAUGAGCUCGCGGCCUAUCAGCUUGUUGGUGGGGUAAUGGCCUACCAAGGCGUCGACGGGUAGCCGGCCUGAGAGGGUGUACGGCCACAUUGGGACUGAGAUACGGCCCAGACUCCUACGGGAGGCAGCAGUGGGGAAUAUUGCACAAUGGGCGCAAGCCUGAUGCAGCGACGCCGCGUGGGGGAUGACGGCCUUCGGGUUGUAAACUCCUUUCGCUAGGGACGAAGCGCAAGUGACGGUACCUGGAGAAGAAGCACCGGCUAACUACGUG
rnacentral:rRNA from 1 species